rnacentral:rRNA from 1 species
CAAUAGCGUAUAUUAAAGUUGUUGCAGUUAAAAAGCUCGUAGUUGGAUUUCUGGUUGAAGCGACCGGUCGGACGUUGAUUCGUCUGCACUGGAGUCGGUUUUGGCCAUCCUCUAGGAAAGUGCGUCUGGUAUUAAGUUAUCGGGCGUAUGAUCCUGGUCUUUUACUGUGAAAAAAUUAGAGUGUUUAAAGCAGGCCUUCGCCUUGAAUACAUUAGCAUGGAAUAAUAAGAUAGGACUUUGGUCUAUUUUGUUGGUUUGCAGACCGAAGUAAUGAUUAAUAGGGAUAGUUGGGGGUAUUUAUAUUCCGAUGUCAGAGGUGAAAUUCUUAGAUUUUCGGAAGAUAAACUUAUGCGAAAGCAUUUACCAAGGAUGUUUUCAUUA